rnacentral:rRNA from 1 species
CGUAGGGUGCGAGCGUUAAUCGGAAUUACUGGGCGUAAAGCGUGCGCAGGCGGUUUUGUAAGACAGGCGUGAAAUCCCCGGGCUCAACCUGGGAACUGCGCUUAUGACUGCAAGGCUAGAGUACGGCAGAGGGGGGUGGAAUUCCACGUGUAGCAGUGAAAUGCGUAGAGAUGUGGAGGAACACCAAUGGCGAAGGCAGCCCCCUGGGUCGAUACUGACGCUCAUGCACGAAAGCGUGGGUAGCAAACAGGAUUAGAUACCCUGGUAGUCCACGCCCUAAACGAUGUCAACUAGGUGUUGGGUGGGUAAAACCAUUUAGUACCGGAGCUAACGCGUGAAGUUGACCGCCUGGGGAGUACGGCCGCAAGGUUA